rnacentral:rRNA from 1 species
UACGUAGGGCGCAAGCGUUGUCCGGAAUUAUUGGGCGUAAAGAGCUCGUAGGCGGUUUGUCACGUCGGAUGUGAAAGCCCGGGGCUUAACCCCGAGCCUGCUUCCGAUACGGGCAGACUAGAGGUAGGCAGGGGAGAGCGGAACUCCUGGUGUAGCGGUGAAAUGCGCAGAUAUCAGGAGGAACACCGGUGGCGAAGGCGGGUCUCUGGGCCGAUACUGACGCUGAGGAGCGAAAGCGUGGGGAGCGAACAGG